rnacentral:lncRNA from 1 species
UGAUCUUCCUGCCUUGGCCUCAAAGGUACUGGGAUUACAGUUACUCGCUGGAAGUGGUGGGAAUCAUAAAAAACAACCAGGACCUUGCAUCCUAGUAUAGAAGCCACAACUGUGGAAGCUUAACAGCCAGGCAAAUGCCCACAAACCACCACCCUCUGCAUUGGAUGCAUAUGUCCCUGACCUCGCAAGUGAAAAAGAGAGGAAGACGGCGACACCUCCAGGCUUCAGACUCAUUAAUCCUGUGAAUCGUGACCCACUCUUAAAACCAAGGAAGAGGGAAGUUUGGACACAGACACACACAGACAAGAGAAUACCAUGUGACAAAGGCAGAGAUUGGAAUGAUACAGCUGCAAGCCAGGGAUGCCAAGGAUUGCAGGUGAAGAGUCAAGGAAGGAUUCUACCCAGAGUUGCACGGCCUUAUUGACACCUUGAUUUGGGCUUCUAGACUCCAGAAUCAUGACAGAAUAAAUUUAUCUGUGUGGAUGUGUGUGUGUGUGUGUGUGUGUGUGUGUGUGUGUGUGUUUUCCUAAAAAAGAGACAA